AUAAAAGAUUGUGGCAUCCAAUUUUGUUCUGCAGUUCCAAUUAUUUUCUGAAAGAGUAAAUUGAUGAAGUCGCACGAAAGGGAUUCGCCUUGUCUGAAACCUCGUUUGGUAUCGAACGGGUUGAAGAGAUCUUUCCCGAUCUCUUGACAAUUUAGUUUUUCUCCAGUUUUGGCACUUUUUCAUUUUCGUAAGUAGUAAGGGUUUUUGGUAUUGCUCAACGUCAGUUUACAAAGCCCUAUUAGUUUUGCUUGGAUACGAAACGCAGCUUCGAAAUCGACGAAUAGUCGAUCCUCUUUUCACGGGUCUUUUCCAAGAUUUGGCGCAGGAGAAUACCUGGUCAGAUGUUGAUUUUCCAGGCCUAAAGCCACACUGAUAAAGUGCAAUUAUUUUGUUGGCUGUGAGCUUUAAUCUUUCACACAAUACUAUGCGAUGUUGAGAAAGCUUACCAGACGUUAGUUGGCGUAGUUUGUGGAGUCUCCAGUUUUGUGGAUUGAGCAGAGCACACUAAAAUUCUAAUCGUUCUGUUAUCUCUCCGCCGGUUGAAGCAAAGGAAGAGGAAGGCCUACGCUUCGUUGGAGAGACAGGUGGAGAAGGACCUGACUUCGCUUGGAAUCUACAAUUGACGCCACAUUGCGAAAAGAAGGAACGAAGAAAAAAUAUAUACAAAUGAACAUUUUUCACUUGAAUAACAAUACAAUAGGGGUAUUUAGACUAGCCUUGUUAAUUCGUUAGUCGUCAUUCGGUAGUUUUUUGCAUGUAUUUUGUUCUACCGAGUAACGAACUAUCAAUCUGGCAAGCUUGAUAAUUGUUUCGUUACUCGGUAAUAUCACAUCAGCUGUUUGUUUGUUGUUCGCUGCUUUAUACAUUUUUAGACGGGAAAAUAAAUUUGGUGCUCAAUUCGUGAAUUAGGAAAAAUUUUGCAAAAUGGAACCCCAAAAGAAAAUACGCAGGAGGGCAAAGCCUCAAAAAAAUGGGAUGAGGAAGAAAACCAUUUGGUUCUAGAAUAUUUACUAGAAAAUGUGGAAAUUGAGAAACCAAACGCCCAAUUGUACUACCAAAAAUUUAUUGAAACAACAAAUAUCGAUGCGACUACGGACAUGUUGCGCUGCCAGGUCCGGUACUGGAAGCAGAUGUAUAAUAAAGCUGAGGAGUGGCGAAAAUCGACAGGUUCUGGAAUAGACGUUGGCGAUGAUGUUUCCUCAAUAAAUGCAAAACUUUCACAAAUGUGUCCGAAUUAUGAACGGUUUUCGGUUCUAUUUGGGAGUAAAUCCGAAGCCAAUUGUGUUGUAGAGACGUACAACCCUGAAGUGUCACAAUACUGCAGCGAUUUUGCAGAUAUU